AUGCUCACUUCAGCACACACACUAAAACUGCAAUGCCACAGAGAUGAUUAGCAUAGCCUCUGUACAGGGACGGCACUCAAAGUCACAAAGCCGUGAAGUGUUCC
rnacentral:snRNA from 1 species